rnacentral:rRNA from 1 species
AGUCACUGACAUUAGAUACCCGGGUAGUCCCAGCCGUAAACAAUGUGCGUUAGGUGUGUCGGUAACCACGCGUUACUGAUACGCCGAAGAGAAAUCGUGAAACGCACCACCUGGGAAGUACGGCCGCAAGGCUGAAACUUAAAGGAAUUGCGGGGAGCACCACAACAGGUGGAGCCUGCGGUUUAAUUGGAUUCAACGCCGGACAUCUCACCGGAUAAGACAGCUGAAUGAUUGUCAAUCUGAAGGUUUUACAUGACUAGCUG